AUUGAACGCUGGCGGCAGGCCUAACACAUGCAAGUCGAACGAGUGGCGGACGGGUGAGUAAUGUCUGGGAAACUGCCUGAUGGAGGGGGAUAACUACUGGAAACGGGAGCUAAUACCGCAUACUAUCAGAUGUGCCUAGGUGGGAUUAGCUUGUUGGUGGGGUAACGGCUCACCAAGGCGACGAUCCCUAGCUGGUCUGAGAGGAUGACCAGCCACACUGGAACUGAGACACGGUCCAGACUCCUACGGGAGGCAGCAGUGGGGAAUAUUGGACAAUGGGCGCAAGCCUGAUGCAGCCAUGCCGCGUGUAUGAAGAAGGCCUUCGGAUUGUAAAGUACUUUAAGCUGGGAGGCGUUACCAGCAGAAGAAGCACCGGCUAACUCCGUGCCAGCCGCCGCGGUAAUAC
rnacentral:rRNA from 1 species